GGGUAUAGCUCAGUUGGUAGAGUAGUGGUCUCCAAAACCAUUGGUCGAGGGUUCGAGUCCUUCUGCCC
rnacentral:tRNA from 1 species